AGAGAUGCUUGCAUGUUUGCUUUUCUCACAGUCUGCUUCUCUCCUCUUUGUUCUUCUCAACUGUGUUUUGUCCUCUUUUUGGCGCUUAUUUCUUUGUCUCAUCUUUUCUGAUGUUGGUAAAAACAACUUGUUUUUUCUACCACAUCAUCACUCUACUCUCUGCCUUCGUCCUGUCCACUCAUGCUGACCAUCUCAUCCAGCUGCUAGUGAGGAUUGAAUCAAAUCUUGUGGAGGAUCAACUUAUACUUAAUUAUUUCUCUGCAUUUUCCAAUCUUAUUCCUUACCGUCACUUCCACUCAUUCGAAGUCUAUAUUCUCUGCAUACUUAAUGAGCUCAUUACUUCGCGAGACAUUUUGUGACAUCUGUCCCUUUUUCUACUAUAUUUGAAAUUGUGAAGUGUAUAUAUUUCUAUUCACGGAUUUGUGCAAUUUAUCUGAGCGGCUGGACCCCAUUUUAUCAUCUGGCGAGCAAGAAUUAAGUGUUAUCAAGUAUCAGAGUAUCGUAUCUGUUGUUUACUUCAACGUUCGGGACAGUGACCUCCAUGGAAUGAGAUGGGCUGGCAUUCAACUGAGUAUUAAUCAAUGUUGCUUUAAUUGUGUAGAAUCUCCAACAUGAACUACAUUAGCAGAGCGGCGGCCUCGGCUGCAGGGCUACCCCGACCAUCCGAAGAAGUCGGCUACUUGAUCUACUGUCCAACUAUGGAAGAAUUGGAAGACACUUGUAUGAAGGAAUUGGACCCUGAAAACGACUUCGAGAAAGAUGAUAAACUUCACUUGCAGACUAUCAUUGCGCGAUCAAGAGUUAAAGAUGAAUUUGCAACCAUAAGACAGAGCAUGACAUCGAUAGCAGGGGAGUUACACUUGGAAGGGGCAUCAUCCAGCGACCAAGGUCACCAUGAAGCAAACCGUGUUUUAAGAGCAGAAGGUUGUAUUAACGCGGUCCGUCCAUCACCUCAACAUCUGAGUAGUGACAUAUUGAAUCAAAACUCGUCACAUCUUGGGGAUAGUACCAAGGUCAGUACAUCAAGUUCAUCCCAACAGCUAGGUAGUAACAUCGUGAAUCAUUCAAGCUCGUCUCAGCAUGGAGGUAGUAUCAACGGGGUCCGUCCAUCAAGUUCGCCUCAACAUCUGAGUAGUAACAUAGUGAAUCAUUUAAACUCGUCACAUCUUGGGGAUAGUAUACCAAGGUCAGUACAUCAAGUUCAUCCCAACAACUAGGUAGUAACAUCGUGAAUCAUUCAAGCUCGUCUCAGCAUGGAGGUAGUAUCAACGGGGUCCGUCCGUCAAGUUCGCCUGAACAUCUGAGUAGUAACAUAGUGAAUCAUUUAAACUCGUCACAUCUUGGGAAUAGUACCAAGGUCAGUACAUCAAGUUCAUCCCAACAACUAGGUAGUAACAUCGUGAAUCAUUCAAGCUCGUCUCAGCAUGGAGGUAGUAUCAACGGGGUCCGUCCAUCAAGUUCGCCUCAACAUCUGAGUAGUAUAGUGAAUCAUUUAAACUCGUCACAUCUUGGGGAUAGUACCAAUGUCAGUACAUCAAGUUCCUCCCUACAGCUAGGUAGUAACAUCGUGAAUCAUUCAAACUCGUCUCAAAAUGGAGGUAUUAACACGUUCAGUCCAUCAAGUUCACCUCAACAUCUAAGAAGUGACUUGGUGAAUCAUUCAAGCUCGUCUGAACAUAUAGACAGUAAGGGAACAGUGCGUACCAGUGAGAGUGCGAUGGAGAAUGUUCGGAAGUGUUCCUUUUGCAACAAGGAAUUCAAAUACCGUAUUCACCUUGAGCGCCACUUACGAACCCACACCGGGGAGAAACCUUUCAAACGUUCACUCUGCGAUAAGGCGUUCGGGCAGAAGGAGAGUCUUAAGAGUCAUUUCGUAACGCACACGGGAGAAAAAUUGCACAAGUGUGGCAUUUGUGAGAAGCAGUUCUCAUUUGCGACAGGUCUUCAUUACCACAUGAAAGUUCAUAAUGGAGAGCGCCAACACGAGUGUCCUGUCUGCAAGAAGAAGUUCAUUUACAGAAGAGGAGUCAAAAGACACAUGAUAACGCACACUGGGGAGAAACCCUUUGAAUGAUCUAUAUGUCAGAAACGGUUCACGCAAAGACAUGCUCUUACAACGCACAUGCGGCAUCACACAGGAGAAAGACCUUUUGAAUGCUCGGUUUGCCAGAAAAGAUUUUUGGCGAAGGUGCAUCUCACCUCGCACAUGCGCUCUUACACCGGUGAAAAGCCGUUCAAAUGUUCCGUGUGUGAUAAACAUUUUCCACAUCCUGGUAAUGUUUCUGUUCACAUGCGAACACACACAGGUGAACGGCCAUACGAAUGUAAAGUAUGCAAGAAAAGGUUUACACAGAGUUGUACUCUUUCAAGGCAUUUGAAAACUCACCAAAAUGAAGAGGAGGAAACUAAAUCAGAUUAACUAGAACUGAAUUUAAUAAUAAUGUAGUUUUUAUAUAGCACAUUUUAUACCUGUAAGGUUUCGCUUUACAGAAAUAAAAUUAUACAAAUAUAAAUUAGAACAGUGUAAAAACGCUUAAAUAACAUCACUUAAUCAAAUGGCUAAAUUAUGCUUCAUUAAAAAGACACGUCUUAAGUUCUGAUUUAAAUUCAGGCAGCCACCAGCUAGGGGUGUUUCAUGAAAGUUAUCAAAACUGAAUAAAUUGUCGGUGCUGACAAUAUCAGUGAAUUCCUUUGUUUUGAUUGGCUGAGAGGUACUAUGGCCUCUGACUGUUACUAUAGUAACUAUCGGAGAAAUACAACCUGUCAGUACUUACAACUUUUAUGAAACGUCCGCAGUAUUUUUGGCCGCGCCGACCGUAAUAAUCCGUUCGAAUAAUGAGAACUCCAAAAUUUCGUUAUGUGUACUUACAACAGGUCAUAACUCCAUUAUUCAAGAAAACAUCCGUGUAAAUACAAAUAGGAUAACCAUGGAAGCUAAUUUUCAGUAGCUUUAGCUGUGAAGAUAAACGAACGUUUCAGUUUUGUAAUUGAUUUUGAUAUUUUUAUUUUAAUUUGUCGUCCCAUAACCCAAAUGACACACUUGUCGAAUAAAGGGGUCAAUUCUUACACCCCAAAACGGACCAACCGUUUCGUCGGAAUAGGUUCGGAUACACAUAGAAUAAGCAUGUUCCCGAUUUUUAUUUGAAAGUUUGCUUGUAGUUUAAUGAAGAGUCACGGAAAAUAUUCACGCUACACAUAAUAGAGAUUUGUCGCUUGACGACACACGACGAAUUAAAGAACAUAGAAAAUGUAUUGCCAAAUUUCCUUCAUGACAAAGAACAACAAUCAGGAAUUUUCUGUCGAAAAUGUGCGAAUUAAAAGAGCAGUUUUGUCUUGGACCCUGGACAAACGACACGUUUGUAAUUUUUCGUCAGCGUCGAAACUUAGAACGGAAUCUGCCCUUCCGAUUUUCCAAUUUCCGACAAAGACCUCUCUUAAAUCUGUCGUGCGCCGCGGAGCAAAAAAUCCCUGUUUCCGCGAUAUUCUCGAUUAUGAAUGCAUAGACUUUCAUUCAAUAAACGCAUUUGAUUACACGACUAAAAUGGAACUUGAUAAAUGAA